CUACCCCUGCGGUGUACGCCAAGAAGGCACAGAUUUGAAAGAACCGAUACCCGUACUCAGGGGAAUCCUGCCUUGGUGGCGGCGAAUGCCUGGCAACAGGAAUCAAUGCCUCAAGUAAGGAUUGCCCACCUGGAUGUAAUGGGUUCCUUUCAACGAGCCCUUCUAGCGGCAAGCGCGGAGGUCAG
rnacentral:other from 1 species